rnacentral:rRNA from 1 species
AUUAAGGUUAAAAUUGUUUAUUUUUAAAUUUAUAUAUUAUAAAUCAUUUUAUAAUUUAGUUGUGAAUAUAGUAAAAAGUAAUUUUUAUAAUUUUAUUAAUUUUUUUUUAUAAAAAUUAAUUAUAAACUAGGGUUAGAUGCCUAUUAUUUGUUUAAUAAAUUUAAUUUAGUAGUAACAAAUUAUUUUUUAAACUAAAAUUUCAUGGCAGUAUUUUACUCCCUGCAGAGGAAUUUGAAUAUUAAAUGAUAAUCCUCUUUUAUUUUUACUUAAUUUUUUUUUAUGUGUGGUUGUUUAAAUAAAUAAAUUAAUUAUAAAUUUUAAAUCAGAUUUUAUGUAAAUACUAAUUAAGAAUAUUUUAAUUACAAAUUUUUAUUAAUUUUAGGAUUUGCAUGUAUUUAAAUUUUAUAAAAAUAGUAAUGAAGAGGUAUUAAAAUAUGUACAUAUUGUCCGUCACUCUCAGAGAU